rnacentral:tRNA from 1 species
CUUCUUUUAGAUUAAGGAAAUCAGCGGGCUCAUGCCCCGAAGAUGUCACAAAAUUCGAAGUGUGGCAGAGAAGA